GACGGAAGGUGCAAGCGUUGCUCGGAAUCACUGGGCGUAAAGGGUGCGUAGGCGGCGCGGUAAGUCGGGUGUGAAAUCUCGGAGCUUAACUCCGAAACUGCAUUCGAUACUGCCGUGCUUGAGGACUUGAGAGGAGACUGGAAUUUACGGUGUAGCGGUGAAAUGCGUAGAUAUCGUAAGGAAGACCAGUGGCGAAGGCGGGUCUCUGGACAGUUCCUGACGCUGAGGCACGAAGGCCAGGGGAGCAAACGGG
rnacentral:rRNA from 1 species